AGAUUUUGCUCGUCACAUUCUGUCACUAAAUUUAGUUGAUUUUAUGAUGUUUAGUUUUAAUCUAGAGGUAGUUUUAUAAAUGUGUGAAUAAUCUUUUAUGAGAACUUAUCCUAUUAUUUUCCCCACACAACUUUUGUGCCUCAAAUAGGAUUCUGUUAGGAAAAAAUGUGCUUUGUUUGAUAUUCUGCUUCAUUUGGUCAUCUUUUUCAUGAUGCUUGCUCAAAAAAGUGAAAAAUAGCAA
rnacentral:misc_RNA from 1 species